rnacentral:rRNA from 1 species
UACGGAGGAUGCGAGCGUUAUCCGGAUUUAUUGGGUUUAAAGGGUGCGUAGGCGGGAUGCCAAGUCAGCGGUAAAAAUGCGGUGCUCAACGCCGUCGAGCCGUUGAAACUGGCGUUCUUGAGUGGGCGAGAAGUAUGCGGAAUGCGUGGUGUAGCGGUGAAAUGCAUAGAUAUCACGCAGAACUCCGAUUGCGAAGGCAGCAUACCGGCGCCCUACUGACGCUGGGGCACGAAAGCGUGGGUAUCGAACAGG